ACAGUGGUGGGGACCAGACGCAUUCUGGAUUUCUGCUUGUCCGACAUUCUUUGUGUUCUGAUUGGCAGCUGAAACCGCACACUGUUUCUUGGGGAUGCUUCUCAGCAGCCAUGCCUGCAAUUAAGAGAGAAAAGCAAUUCAAUUUGGAGGAGACACUACCCUCUUGUGACACGUCUAGGAAAGAACUCUAAAGUUCUCUAAAGGAACGGGCACCCAACUUCCAUCUGUCACCACCUGGGCUAUGAGCCACAAUAUGUUUGUACUUGGAGCACUGUACCCACUUGAGCCAUGUGCUCAGCAGCAAUGUAAACAACCAGUCAGCAGCAAAAAUAACAAAACCUGUUUCAGAAAAACAAGAGGGGAUAGUAAGUAGUCUAAGAAGCUGAGCCUGAGAGACUCAGAGUUGAACAAGCCAGAUCCUUAUCUUGUUGGACUUGAAGAAGUAGGAACAGAGGAGGACACUCUCUACCCCCACCCCUACUUCCUGCAAGAAACAAAUUAAUGAGGAAAACAAGAGGACAUUUGUUCAUAGUUUUAUGGGACUCUGGAGCCUUCAGCUGGGCCACCCACACUGGACUCUUGCUUCUAGUGCUGCUACUUCAAGAAACAAGGACCACCACGUGCGUGGACACAAGGAGCCCUGCGCUGGGGAGACCAAGCCAGGCCUGCCUGUCUCCAACCUCCUUGACUUCUCUACUGCCACAGUUUUCAUUCCAAGGGUGGGUCAGGACCCUUAGUUUCUAUAUGGAUAACUAGUACAGCAAGAUGGAAGAAAUGUUAAUGUAAUUUUUGUUUUGUUUUGUUUUAUAGCUAGGGCAGCAGGUUUUGGCUUCUCUGGCCCACAUUGGGGAUGAAAUACAAACAGUAUUAAUGGCAGAAAAAUCAGUAC